rnacentral:lncRNA from 1 species
UUUUGAUGUAGAUCAAUAUCAAGAUGGUUACCACGGCGGUGCUCCGACGCCACCGCGAGAGAGGGCACUAUUAGGAAAAAAGCAUACUAGCAGCGAGGGGUAAAUUCUUAGCAGUAGCACACGUCCCCGCACUAUUGCUAGCUCGCUACAGCUAAAAAGUACUAACGAAGAUAGUAGUAGUGCGGGUGUCACCCGUGUUACUGCUAUUACAGACCCACACUAAUAGUAACGAAAUAGUAGUAGUGCGUCUAUAAUACCAAAGCUACUACUAUCAUAAAUAGUAGUAGCGUGCAGUUUUUAGCCCACGCUACUACUAACUAAUAAGGAAUUAAAAAAAUAAAACUGAGCAAAUCCAUUUUACGCAUACUAUUCCGAGAAAACACAAUAGUGAUGAAAAUGUUAUCAUUCCUCAUUCUACAAUCACACAGUUUUUGUAUCUACUAUCACAUACUUGCUCAUUCUACCUAUCCUCGCUCCUAUAAUAGCAAAAAUGAAAAGGAAAAAUAGAGCUAAUCUGCUAGCGAAAUGUCCUUAUUCAAUGGAAUGGUGCAAUUGCACUGCAGUGACAUGGAUUGAGUCUGCCGCUAUAACAUCUCAUUACCCUGCAGCGAUGGAAAUGAGCAUCAAUAAGGCAUAUAGAUAUAGGGAAUAAAUGGAGUGCAAGCAUAUGCUUAGAUGAUACGGGAGACAUGGACUAAGAUUCUGAUACAAUGAGAAUAUGCACUGAAAUUUGCCCCAAAAUUACCUUUUGCAACUCUUCAAAUCUCUUGGUUGAAGUGGAUAGUGAGGUCUUAACCUACUCCCUCCUGUGAGAAACGGCUCCCCUCAUGUUCUUAGCAUCUGCAUGAAAAAAGAGGCGAAGUUAUUGUGACUUUGCAAGAAAAAUAAGAUACUAGAAUACAAAAAGAGCAUGGGGUUGUUGGAUGAACAUAAACUUGAAAAGCAUGAUUACAAAUACCCUUUACAUAGUGGAAUUACACCGCUAAAGGGUAACAUGAAUGUAAGUACACUAACAUUACAGUGUAAAUUACAUAGAAUAAAUUCCAAAAUGGAAUUAUACACUACAAUUUGUACUGGAAUUUUCAGAACAUGGCACUGUAAGUACACAUAUAUUUCGGUUACAAAAUCCCCUUCCAUGUCCAAUCUACGGAGACCAAUUAAUUUUGAAGUAAAUUUAUAGUGCAUUAGCAAUAGAUUUAUAGUUUAUUAUCAGUAGAUUUACAAUGAAUUGACAGAAGAUUUACUAUUAAAUAUUCACAAUAGAACAUACUACAUAUUCCACUUAGGAAUGCAGUGUAUAAAUAAAACUAGAUAGAUAACACUACCAAAGCUUACAAGCAAAUACAUGGGGCAUAGAAGAUGAUGAACAUGUGGUCCUUCAAGUAAAGAUGAAGACAAAAUGAAUGAUUUACCUAUUAUUCUAUUUGACCCUAGUAUCUGCCAUGCAUACUGAUCUGUAGGCGAUAAAAUCUGCAGCUAUGCAUUGUAGUUUCUAUAAAAAAGAUAAUGUAAACCUAUCUUGGUUGUAAAUUAUUGUCAUGUAAGUUGUCGCCAAAAAAUGUAUCUCCAUCUUGUAAUUUAGAUCUUUGUUGACACUAUACAUAGGUUAGAGAAACCACUAAAAUUUAAACAAAAAACAUUAGCUUCGCUUAAGAAUAUGAUACUGUGUACUUCCAAUUUAUCUUAAGAUUUUAGGAUCAAGAAGCUAAAGUAAACAAAGGCAAAGUAUUAAUGCAAGGACAUGAGUCAUACCUCAAGAUGAAGAGGCUAUCUUCUUGUUGAAAAUAAAACAAAGAAAACAAACAUCAGGUUAUUGUAAAAUGUAGUAUUUAAAGAAUGGGGCGCACACAUUUACUGAAAUUCUUUAGAAUGGGGCACAAAAUUGACAAGAAUACAAAAAUAUUCAGAUAAAUCAAAAGUGACACAUUACUGAAAAUUACAGUCCAAAACAACUUUAUAUUCAGGCCACCAAAAAGAGAAGGAGUACACAUUACUGGGACAAAAUGCACAUUAAAUUACACUAUAAUUACAGAAGUUGCAGUGUGAUUAUGCAUAUUUUCAGUUAAGUAACAAUGAUUUGAACUAUAGUUUUAGUCUUUUAUUAGUCUACCCGGUACUACAAUUCAACAUUGCAAAGACCGUCUACGAUUACAAAGGGAAUUCACUGAAAUUACAUACGGAUUUACAAUGUAAAUAUCAAUAUUAGAUUGAGUGAACUUAUUCUUUGCACAAGUGAGAAAUCUAAAACCCUUUUUGCACUUGUGCCGCUGCUAAUAGUACAACCUAAGCACUAACAACAGUUGAGCAAAAAUAUAGUGCAUGAUGAAAUGAAUACAUCCAUCUAUCCAGUUGAAAUGACAAAGUUCCAACCUAUUAAAUGUAGACAGAAGAAAGGGGUUUGGUUUUCAGAGUGGGGAGCAGAGAAGAUGUAUGCAACCCAACAAACGGAUGAGCAGGUAGACGAGCUCCAUGUCAUCUUCUUGUGGCCGAAUACAGAUAUAGUGGGCUUCCUCGACCUUCAUUCGUCAAGGGUCAAUGGCAUGGAGGUGUGCUGGAUCUGGGACUUGUUGAUCCCCUUCUUCUCUGCACAUCUAGAAGAGAAGACCCGAAUAGAGAUUAAACGAGGAGGGGAGAGAUAGAAAAAUGAAGGAGGAUGCAUUGAACUCGCCGGAGUGAGAAGCGCCGCCGCGACCGAAACCCUAGCCGUGCGGGAGGGCUACUGGUGGCCACGAACGGACGAGCAUUAAAUCCAGCUGGAGGGGCGCACAUAGGAGAUGGAGGCAACCUCCAGAGGAAGCCUGGCGGUGGCAGGAGUCGUUGAAGGAAGGCGAUGCGGCCGGCGUAUGUGGCGACGGCGGCGAGGAAUCGCAACUGAGAGAGAGACUAACAGUGGGGCUCACGCGCACGCGAGAGAGAGAGAGAAGGGUUUUUUAGCAGUGCGAGGCAUGGGUUCCCUUAGUUGUAGCGCAUGGCCGUGGGGGAAGAAAGCCCCCUCCUUCUUCUUCCUUGGUCUCCCUCCUAGAUGGGAGGAGAGUUUCCCCUCUGUUUCAUGCUUCCAUGACACACGAAGAGCAGCAGCCCCUGUUAGAUUGGAUCUCUCUCUAUUUCUCCCCUAUUUUCAUGAUGUUUGUGACUCCUUUACCGUUUUUUAAAUAUCCGAAGAUCUCUAACUCUGACUGGGCUGAAAUUUUGAUGGGGACUUUUAUCAGGAAA